rnacentral:rRNA from 1 species
ACAGUGUCUGGUGGGUAGUUUGACUGGGGCGGUCUCCUCCUAAAGCGUAACGGAGGAGCACGAAGGUUGGCUAAUCCUGGUCGGACAUCAGGAGGUUAGUGCAAUGGCAUAAGCCAGCUUGACUGCGAGCGUGACGGCGCGAGCAGGUGCGAAAGCAGGUCAUAGUGAUCCGGUGGUUCUGAAUGGAAGGGCCAUCGCUCAACGGAUAAAAGGUACUCCGGGGAUAACAGGCUGAUACCGCCCAAGAGUUCAUAUCGACGGCGGUGUUUGGCACCUCGAUGUCGGCUCAUCACAUCCUGGGGCUGAAGUAGGUCCCAAGGGUAUGGCUGUUCGCCAUUUAAAGUGGUACGCGAGCUGGGUUUAGAACGUCGUGAGACAGUUCGGUCCCUAUCUGCCGUGGGCGCUGGAGAACUGAGGGGGGCUGCUCCUAGUACGAGAGGACCGGAGUGGACGCAUCACUGGUGUUCGGGUUGUCAUGCCAAUGGCACUGCCCGGUAGCUAAAUGCGGAAGAGAUAAGUGCUGAAAGCAUCUAAGCACGAAACUUGCCCCGAGAUGAGUUCUCCCUGAGACUUUAGUCUCCUGAAGGAACGUUGAAGACGACGACGUUGAUAGGCCGGGUGUGUAAGCGCAGCGAUGCGUUGAGCUAACCGGUACUAAUGAACCGUGAGGCUUAACCUU